UUGAACGCUGGCGGCAUGCUUUACACAUGCAAGUCGAACGGCAGCACGGGUGCUUGCACCUGGUGGCGAGUGGCGAACGGGUGAGUAAUGCAUCGGAACGUAUCCAAUAAUGGGGGAUAACGCAUCGAAAGGUGUGCUAAUACCGCAUACGCCCUGAGGGGGAAAGUGGGGGACCGUAAGGCCUCACGUUAAUGGAGCGGCCGAUGUCAGAUUAGCUAGUUGGUGAGGUAAAGGCUCACCAAGGCGACGAUCUGUAGCUGGUCUGAGAGGAUGAUCAGCCACACUGGGACUGAGACACGGCCCAGACUCCUACGGGAGGCAGCAGUGGGGAAUUUUGGACAAUGGGGGCAACCCUGAUCCAGCCAUGCCGCGUGAGUGAAGAAGGCCUUCGGGUUGUAAAGCUCUUUCGCAAGGGAAGAAAACUUAGAUCCUAAUACGGUCUGAGGAUGACGGUACCUUGAUAAGAAGCACCGGCUAACUACGUGCCAGCAGCCGCGGUAAUACGGAGGGUGCGAGCGUUAUCCGGAAUUACUGGGUUUAAAGGGUGCGUAGGCGGAUGAUUAAGUCUAAGGUGAAAGCAUGUCGCUUAACGAUAUAAUUGCCUUGGAUACUGGUUAUCUUGAAUAUGAUUGAGGAUAGCGGAAUGUGACAUGUAGCGGUGAAAUGCAAAGAUAUGUCAUAGAACACCAAUUGCGAAGGCAGCUAUCUGGGUCAUUAUUGACGCUGAGGCACGAAAGCGUGGGGAUCGAACAGGAUUAGAUACCCUGGUAGUCCACGCCCUAAACGA
rnacentral:rRNA from 1 species